UACGAAGGGUGCAAGCGUUACUCGGAAUUACUGGGCGUAAAGCGUGCGUAGGUGGUUUGUUAAGUCUGUUGUGAAAGCCCCGGGCUCAACCUGGGAAUGGCAAUGGAUACUGGCAAGCUAGAGUGCGGUAGAGGGUAGUGGAAUUCCCGGUGUAGCGGUGAAAUGCGUAGAGAUCGGGAGGAACACCGGUGGCGAAGGCGGCGACCUGGGUCGAGACUGACGCUGAGGCGCGAAAGCGUGGGGAGCAAACAGG
rnacentral:rRNA from 1 species